GACGAACGCUGGCGGCGUGGAUUAGGCAUGCAAGUCGAACGGUAUCAUCCUUUCGGGGGUGAGAGAGUGGCGAACUGGUGAGUAACACGUAGGUUAUCUACCCUCAAGACGGGGACAACCCAGGGAAACUUGGGCUAAUACCGGAUGUGAGCAACUUUUAGUUGUUUGAAAGGUGGCGUAAGCUGUCGCUUGGGGAUGAGCCUGCGUCCUAUUAGUUAGUUGGUGAGGUAACGGCUCACCUAGGCAAUGAUAGGUAGGCGGCCUUAACGGGUGGUCGCCCACACUGGGAUUGAGAUACGGCCCAGACUCCUACGGGAGGCAGCAGUCGAGAAUAGUCUACAAUGGUCGGAAGACUGAUAGUGCGACGCCGCGUGAACGAUGAAUCCCUUCGGGGUGUAAAGUUCUUUUAUAUGUGAGCAGUGCUUCUUAUAUUAACAGUAUGGGGAGAGAGAUAUUAGCAUAUGAAUAAGCAACGGCUAACUCCGUGCCAGCAGCCGCGGUAU
rnacentral:rRNA from 1 species